AGACUCCUACGGGAGGCAGCAGCAGGGAAUAUUGAGCAAUGGACGGAAGUCUGACGCAGCGACGCCGCGUGGAUGACGAAGGCCUUCGGGUUGUAAAAUCCUUUUCCGGGCGAUGAGGAAGGACACUAGCCUGGGAAUAAGCGUCGGCUAACUACGUGCCAGCAGCCGCGGUAAGACGUAGGACGCGAGCGUUAUCCGGAUUUACUGGGCGUAAAGCGCCUGCAGGCGGUCAGGUAAAGUCGGUUGUGAAAGCCCCGUGCUCAACGCGGGGAGGCCAAGCGAUACUGCGUGACUUGAGGGCGGAAGAGGGGAGUGGAAUUCCCGGUGUAGCGGUAAAAUGCGCAGAUAUCGGGAGGAACACCAGUGGCGAAGGCGGCUCCCUGGACCGCACCUGACGCUCAGAGGCGAAAGCUAGGGGAGCGAACAGGAUUAGAGACCCUGGUAGUCCUAGCCCUAAACGCUGGAUGCUAGGUGUAGGGCUGAUGAGGCUCUGUGCCGGAGCGAACGCGAUAAGCAUCCCGCCUGGGAACUACGGCCGCAAGGCUAAAACUCAAACGAAUUGACGGGGACCCGCACAAGCAGCGGAGCGUGUGGUUUAAUUCGAUGCUACACGAAGAACCUUACCUGGGUUUGACAUGCUGGUGGUACCGAACCGAAAGGGGAGGGACCCUUCGGGGAGCCAACACAGGUGCUGCACGGCUGUCGUCAGCUCGUGCCGUGAGGUGUCGGGUUAAGUCCCGUAACGAGCGCAACCCUUGCUCUUAGUUAUACGUGUCUAAGGGGACUGCCGGCGACAAGCCGGAGGAAGGUGGGGAUGACGUCAAGUCAGCAUGGCCUUGAUAUCCAGGGCUACACACACGCUACAAUGGCCGGUACAAAGGGCAGCCAAGCCGCGAGGUGGAGCGAAUCCCAGCAAAGCCGGUCCCAGUUCGGAUUGCAGGCUGCAACCCGCCUGCAUGAAGUUGGAGUUGCUAGUAACCGCGCGUCAGCCAUAGUGCGGUGAAUACGUACCCGGGUCUUGUACACACCGCCCGUCACGUCAUGGGAGUUGGCAACGCCUGACAGCGGUAGCCUAACCGAAAGGAAGGCGCCGACUAAGGCGGGGCUAGCGACUGGGACGAAGUC
rnacentral:rRNA from 1 species